AGGAAGUAAAAGUCGUAACAAGGUUUCCGUAGGUGAACCUGCGGAAGGAUCAUUAUUGUAUAACGGAGGCACCUAGGGCUGUCGCUGGCCUUUCAAAGGUCGUGCACGCUCAAAGUGGUCUCUUACAUCCAUCUAACCCAUUGUGCAUCACCGCGUGGGGCCCCCUAUUGGGGGUUUUGCGUUUUUAUAACAAACACCAUUUUAAUGAAUGUAUAGAAUGUCUUUUUUAAUAUCAAUAUAACUUUCAACAACGGAUCUCUUGGCUCUCGCAUCGAUGAAGAACGCAGCGAAAUGCGAUACGUAAUGUGAAUUGCAGAAUUCAGUGAAUCAUCGAAUCUUUGAACGCACCUUGCGCCUCUUGGUAUUCCGAGAGGCACACCCGUUUGAGUGUCGUGAACACCCUCAACCUUCUUGGUUUUUUGACCAGAAAGGCUUGGACUUUGGAGGUUCUCCUUGCCGGCUUUCAUCUAAAGUUGGCUCCUCCUAAAUGAAUUAGUGGGAUCUGCUUUGCUGAUCCUUGACGUGAUAAUUAUCCUUCUACGUCUUGGUUUCUUUUUGCAAUGUCACCCGCUUCAAACUGUUUUCAAAUUGAAGACAAUGUUUGAGCUGCCUCGUAAGUCGUGGCUCAACCUCAUUGACCUUGACCUCAAAUCGGGUGAGACUACCCGCUGAACUUAAGCAUAUCAAUAAGCGGAGGAAAAGAAACUAACAAGGAUUCCCCUAGUAACUGCGAGUGAAGCGGGAAAAGCUCAAAUUUAAAAUCUGGUGGUCUUUGACCAUCCGAGUUGUAAUUUAGAGAAGCGUCUUCCGCGCUGGACCGU
rnacentral:rRNA from 1 species